UAUUUUUGGUGCAAAACUCCCAAGCAGCUGUAAAAGUGUCAUUUGUAGUUGUAAAAAAUAGCCACACAUGUGUAUCAGUAAAUUUGUACUCGCAGAGCAAAUUUGCAAAUGCGUAUCAGUAAAUUUGUACUCGCAGAGCAAAUUUGCAAAUGCGUAUCAGUAAAUUUGUACUCGCAGAGCAAAUUUGCAAAUGUGUAGGUAUUUUUUGUCUCCAACAAACACAACGCAACAUUUACACCUGCACAAAUUCUUCAGUACAGGUGCACAAAUCCCAUCGGACGAAUCACAAAUGCAGAAACUCAUCCGCUCAUGUUCUUUGCUACUAUUGUUGCAGUGAAUAUGGUGCAAAACACAUUCACACACCUGCAUCCAGAAAUGUGAAGUCACAGACAAAACUUGCACAUCUGUAGAUUAGAAUGUGUAUCCGCACAAAGAGAGCUGAACGUGUGUAGAAUGUUUGAUUAUUUUUUUUCUAAGCACGAACACAAAUAUGUUCCUGCAACUGCUCAAAUCUGCCGCUACGAGUCUCAAGCGCUGUUUUUCACUUGCAAAUCUACAUUUCGCUCUCUCGCUCUUCUGCACCAAAAAUCACUGUGACAUUUGGUGCAAAAGUUACUUGUGUAUCUGCCAACCAAAACGUGGGCUCUCAGAGAAAUUCAGCCAAUAGGGGAUGGGGCGUGACGUCACCGCUCUAGCGCUGCGGAGGCUGAACGUCGAAACCGAAACCCCCUUUGCGAGAUUCGCUGCAUCUAUACCUGAUUUGCGUUCAAAAAUGCCUGCUUAAUUAUUUCAUAGUAGGAGCAAACAUGCCUUAAGAAAAGGAGUAGGUUUGAAACUUUAGUAACCAUAAAAAGUCCGCCAGGUGGAUGCCUUUCUACUCCAGGAAGCCGCAGCCUACGGCCUGAAGGAGGAAGAGGACGCGGUCAGUUUGAAAUAGCUGAAUCGAUGACAUCCUGAUAGCAGCAAUACAAUUAAGACAGAAGCCCAUGUUUUGCUGUAUCUCCACACAGCUGGGCCAGUUCUUCAGAUGAUCAGAGGGACUUCGCCAUCAUCACAUCCCUCAUUGCUGCAGUCAGACUGAAACAGGACGGUGAUGCAUGGCAGUCCAUGCCCGAGAUACGGAUGAUGAAGAGACCACAGCAACAUCUGGUCCAGAUGAGGACACAAGGGCAUGUGGACUGAUGCAGGGUCUCGUUCAGUUCACUACAGGAGAACAGGAGUGGCUAAACUCAGUCUAGAACUGCUGCUGUCUUGCAGAGUUUAGUUGAAGUUGACUCUAAACUCUGCAGGACACCAGCUGUCCACAACUGACUUUGGGCACCCCUGCAUUACAGCAUUUCCAAGAUGCUGCUGCAUGUGGACUUCUUUACCCUCACCACACACACCAAUCUGCAGAUAUUUCAGAUCAAACAAAACAUAAAAAACAUUCAAAAAACAAUGUCAUUUUACUGUACAAUGUGUCAUUUGAUUUCUGUAGUGCUAGUAAUAAAAUUAUCCUACCUCUUA